rnacentral:rRNA from 1 species
CGGGGGGAGCAAGCGUUGUUCGGAUUUACUGGGCGUAAAGGGCGCGUAGGCGGCCAGCGCAAGUCAGUUGUGAAAUCUCCGGGCUUAACUCGGAACGGUCAACUGAUACUGCGCGGCUAGAGUGCAGAAGGGGCAACUGGAAUUCUCGGUGUAGCGGUGAAAUGCGUAGAUAUCGAGAGGAACACCUGCGGCGAAGGCGGGUUGCUGGGCUGACACUGACGCUGAUGCGCGAAAGCCAGGGGAGCGAACGGGAUUAGAUACCCCGGUAGUCCUGGCCUUAAACGAUGGAUGCUUGGUGUCUGGAGUCUUAUAGUCUCCGGGUGCCGUAGCUAACGCGUUAAGCAUCCCGCCUGGGGAGUACGGUCGCAAGACUG